UUGGUUAAGUUAGAAAGGGCGCACGGUGGAUGCCUUGGCACUAGGAGCCGAAGAAGGACGGGACUAACACCGAUAUGCUUUGGGGAGCUGUACGUAAGCGUUGAUCCAGAGAUUUCCGAAUGGGGGAACCCACUAUCUUUAGUCGGAUAGUAUCCUUACGUGAAUACAUAGCGUGAGGAAGGCAGACCCAGGGAACUGAAACAUCUAAGUACCUGGAGGAAGAGAAAGAAAAAUCGAUUUCCUGAGUAGCGGCGAGCGAAACGGAAAGAGCCCAAACCAAGAAGCUUGCUUCUUGGGGUUGUAGGACACUCUAUACGGAGUUACAAAAGAAAGUUAUAAAUGAAGCGGUCUGGAAAGGCCCGCCAAAGACGGUAACAGCCCGGUAGUUGAAAUAGCUUUCCCUCCAGAGUGGAUCCUGAGUACGGCGGAACACGUGAAAUUCCGUCGGAAUCCGGGAGGACCAUCUCCCAAGGCUAAAUACUCCCUAGUGACCGAUAGUGAACCAGUACCGUGAGGGAAAGGUGAAAAGCACCCCGGAAGGGGAGUGAAACAGUUCCUGAAACCGUGUGCCUACAAGUAGUUAGAGCCCGUUAAUGGGUGAUAGCGUGCCUUUUGUAGAAUGAACCGGCGAGUUACGAUUUGUUGCAAGGUUAAGCGGAAAAAGCGGAGCCGUAGCGAAAGCGAGUCUGAAUAGGGCGCAUAAGUAACAGGUCGUAGACCCGAAACCAGGUGAUCUACCCAUGUCCAGGAUGAAGGUAAGGUAAUACUUACUGGAGGUCCGAACCCACGCACGUUGAAAAGUGCGGGGAUGAGGUGUGGGUAGCGGAGAAAUUCCAAUCGAACUUGGAGAUAGCUGGUUCUCUCCGAAAUAGCUUUAGGGCUAGCCUCGAGGUAAAGAGUCAUGGAGGUAGAGCACUGUUUGGACUAGGGGCCCUUCUCGGGUUACCGAAUUCAGAUAAACUCCGAAUGCCAUGUACUUAUACUCGGGAGUCAGACUGCGAGUGAUAAGAUCCGUAGUCGAAAGGGAAACAGCCCAGACCACCAGUUAAGGUCCCCAAAUAUAUGUUAAGUGGAAAAGGAUGUGGGGUUGCUUAGACAACCAGGAUGUUGGCUUAGAAGCAGCCACCAUUGAAAGAGUGCGUAAUAGCUCACUGGUCGAGUGACCCCGCGCCGAAAAUGUACCGGGGCUAAACAUA
rnacentral:rRNA from 1 species